GGCCCGUUAGCUCAGUUGUUAGAGCGUGGUGCUAAUAACGCCAAGGUCGCGGGUUCGAUCCCCUCACGGGCCA
rnacentral:tRNA from 1 species